rnacentral:rRNA from 1 species
AUAUCAAUAAGCGGAGGAAAAGAAACUAACAAGGAUUCCCCUAGUAACGGCGAGUGAAGCGGGAAGAGCUCAAAUUUUAAAUCUGGCGUCCCCCGGGCGUCCGAGUUGUAAUCUAGAGAAGCGUUUUCCGCGUUGGACCCACCAUAAGUUACCUCGAACGGUACAUCAUAGAGGGUGAGAAUCCCGUAUGUUGGUGGGAGCCCAGGGCUUUACGAUGCGCUCUCGACGAGUCGAGUUGUUUGGGAAUGCAGCUCAAAAUGGGAGGUAAAUUCCUUCUAAAGCUAAAUACAUUGGGAUGACCGAUAGCGAACAAGUACCGUGAGGGAAAGAUGAAAAGCACUUUGGAAAGAGAGUCAAACAGUACGUGAAAUUGUUGGUAGGGAAACGCUUGAAGUCAGUCGCGUCUCUCGGGACUCAGCCUUGCUUUUGCUUGGUGUAUUUCCCGGUUGACGGGCCAGCGUCCAUUUCGUUCGCUGGAAAAGGGCGGUUUGAAUGUGGCAGCUUCGGCUGUGUUAUAGCUUACCGUCGUACACGGCGUUUGGGAUGGAUCUUACAGCACGCUUUCAGCGGUGCUUAUGUUGGCGUAAUGGCUUUAAACGA